rnacentral:rRNA from 1 species
UGCCAGCCGCCGCGGUAAUACGGAGGGAGCGAGCGUUAAUCGGAAUUACUGGGCGUAAAGCGCGUGUAGGCGGCCUGUUAAGUCUGAUGUGAAAGCCCGGGGCUCAACCCCGGAAGUGCAUUGGAUACUGGCAGUCUUGAGUAUGGGAGAGGAAAGUGGAAUUCCGAGUGUAGGAGUGAAAUCCGUAGAUAUUCGGAGGAACACCAGUGGCGAAGGCGGCUUUCUGGACCAAUACUGACGCUGAGAUGCGAAAGCGUGGGGAGCGAACAGGAUUAGAUA